rnacentral:rRNA from 1 species
GCCUAGACGUAAACAAUUUAUUUACAUUCUCUAACGCCCGGGUAUUACGAGCAAUGCUUAAAACCCAAAGGACUUGACGGUGUCCCACCCACCUAGAGGAGCCUGUUCUAUAAUCGAUAACCCCCGCUUUACCUAACCAUUCUUUGCCUAAUCAGUCUGUAUACCUCCGUCGGAAGCUUACCAUAUGAACGCCCAUAGUAAGCCCAAUGGUCACCCACCAACACGUCAGGUCAAGGUGCAACUUAUAGAAUGGAAAGAAAUGGGCUACAAUUUCUAGAAUAGAACAAACGAAAGGCUGCCUGAAACCCAGUCAUGAAGGAGGAUCUAGUAGUAAAAAGAGAAUAGAGAGCUCUUUUUAACCUGGCACUGGGACGCGUACACACCGCCCGUCACCCUCUUCAAUAGUUCUUUAUCUCGAUUACUAACAAAUUAACUACGCCUU